rnacentral:rRNA from 1 species
UACUCCUACGGGAGGCAGCAGUGGGGAAUCUUCCGCAAUGGACGAAAGUCUGACGGAGCAACGCCGCGUGAGUGAUGACGGCCUUCGGGUUGUAAAGCUCUGUUAAUCGGGACGAAAGGCCUUCUUGCGAAUAGUGAGAAGGAUUGACGGUACCGGAAUAGAAAGCCACGGCUAACUACGUGCCAGCAGCCGCGGUAAUACGUAGGUGGCAAGCGUUGUCCGGAAUUAUUGGGCGUAAAGCGCGCGCAGGCGGAUAGGUCAGUCUGUCUUAAAAGUUCGGGGCUUAACCCCGUGAUGGGAUGGAAACUGCCAAUCUAGAGUAUCGGAGAGGAAAGUGGAAUUCCUAGUGUAGCGGUGAAAUGCGUAGAUAUUAGGAAGAACACCAGUGGCGAAGGCGACUUUCUGGACGAAAACUGACGCUGAGGCGCGAAAGCCAGGGGAGCGAACGGGAUUAGAUACCCCGGUAGUCCUGGCCGUAAACGAUGGGUACUAGGUGUAGGAGGUAUCGACCCCUUCUGUGCCGGAGUUAACGCAAUAAGUACCCCGCCUGGGGGGUACGACCGCAAGGUUGAAACUCAAAGGAAUUGACGGA